UCCCGCAUCCUGCUGCUCCGCGCGGCACUGUUGUUCAGGCACCCAGCAAGUUCUUGCUUUUCCAACCCAUGUCAAAAUCGAGGUGAAUGCAUGAGCAUGGAAUGGGACCAGUACACGUGCAGUUGUACCCGACAGGAUUCGAUGGUGAAAACUGUUCAACACCUAAAUUUCUAGCAAGAAUAAAGUUACUACUGAAACCAUCCGCCAAUACGGUGUGCCCCGUGCUUACCCACUUCAAGGGAUUCUGGGACAUUGUUGAUUAACAUUUCCUUCCUUCGGAAUUCAGUCAUGAGAUAUGUUGCCAGCCAGAUGGCAUUUGAUUGACAGCCCACCAACUUACAAUGUGCACCACACCUACGAAAACUGGGCACCCUUCUCCAACCUCUCCUACUACAUCAGAGCCUCUCCUCCUGUAACAGAUGACUGCCUGACUCCCAUCCUGUGAAAGGGAAGAAGAGGGUUUCUGAUUCAAAAGAUUAUGGGGAAAAUUCUAAGAAAAAAAUUCAUCCUUGACCCCCAGGGCUCGAAUAUGAUAUUCACAUUCUUCGGCCAGCAAUUCACCCACCAGUAUCUCAAGACAGACCAGAAACAAGGACAUAUAUUCACUAGAGGGCUGGGCCAUGGAGUGGACAUAUAAGCCAUGUUUAUGGUAAAACUCCAGAUAGACAGCAUAAACUGCUCCUUUUCAAGGAUGAAAAACUCAAGUACCAGGUAAUUGAUGAAGAGGUAUAUUCUCCCAACCAGCACCACAAACCAUUCUCACCGAAGCCUUACCAAUCAUUUGAAGAACUCAGGAGAAAGAGGCUGCUGAGUUGGAAGUUCUCUGUGGUAAAAUUGAUGCUGUCCUCCCCUGCUGAUAGAAAAGCCUCUUCCAGGUGCUGUCUUUGGGGAAACCCUAGGGGAAAUUGGGGCACCAUUCUCCUUGGAAGGGCCUACAUCAAACCCUAUCUGUUCUCACUACUGGAAUACUGGAAGCCAAGCUCUUUGGGGGAAGUGGGUGUUAAGAUCAUCAACACUGCCUCAAUUAGUAACAUGAAGGGCUGUCCCUUCAUUCAGU
rnacentral:lncRNA from 1 species